UCUAUCGUUCAAAGAUCCUGAUGCGAAGAAACCUGAAGACUGGGAAGACAAAGAGUACAUUCCUGAUCCUGAAGACAAGAAGCCAGAGGGUAUGAUAACAUCCCAAAAGAAAUACCAGAUCCCUAUGCCAAGAAGCUUGAAGACUGGGAUGAU